rnacentral:rRNA from 1 species
UACGAAGGGGGCUAGCGUUGUUCGGAAUUACUGGGCGUAAAGGGCGCGUAGGCGGUACUUCAAGUCAGGCGUGAAAGCCCCGGGCUCAACCUGGGAACCGCGCUUGAGACUGGAGAACUAGAGUUCGGGAGAGGAUGGUGGAAUUCCCAGUGUAGAGGUGAAAUUCGUAGAUAUUGGGAAGAACACCGAUGGCGAAGGCGGCGACCUGGGUAGAUACUGACGCUGAGGUGCGAAAGCGUGGGGAGCAAACAGG